GCCAGACUCCUACGGGAGGCAGCAGUGGGGGAUAUUGCACAAUGGGGGGAACCCUGAUGCAGCGACGCCGCGUGGGUGAAGGAGCGUUUCGGCGCGUAAAGCCCUAUCGGCAGGGAAGAAGGAGGACGGUACCUGACUAAGAAGCCCCGGCUAACUACGUGCCAGCAGCCGCGGUAAUACGUAUGGUGCAAGCGUUAUCCGGAUUUACUGGGUGUAAAGGGAGCGCAGGCGGUUCUGCAAGUCUGAUGUGAAAGCCCGGGGCUCAACCCCGGGACUGCAUUGGAAACUGCAGGACUGGAGUGUCGGAGGGGUAAGCGGAAUUCCUGGUGUAGCGGUGAAAUGCGUAGAUAUCAGGAGGAACACCUGUGGCGAAGGCGGCUUACUGGACGAUGACUGACGCUGAGGCUCGAAAGCGUGGGGAGCAAACAGGAUUAGAUACCCUGGUA
rnacentral:rRNA from 1 species